GAUGAACGCUGACAGAAUGCUUAACACAUGCAAGUCUUUGGCGAAGCUGUGCUUGCACAGCCUAGCCAAGGCGGACGGGUGAGUAACGCGUAAGGAACUUGCCCUGCAGUCAGGGAUAACAGACGGAAACGACUGAUAAGACCUGGUAAAGUCAGGCGGACUCAUGUCCAGCCUGAUGAAAAGAGAUGCUGCAGGAGAGCCUUGCGUCCUAUUAGCUUGUUGGUGGGGUAACGGCCCACCAAGGCGAUGAUAGGUAGCCGGCCUGAGAGGGUGGACGGCCACAAGGGGACUGAGAUUCGGCCCUUACUCCUACGGGAGGCAGCAGUGGGGAAUAUUGGACAAUGGGGGCAACCCUGAUCCAGCAAUUCUGUGUGCACGAUGAAGGUUUUCGGAUUGUAAAGUGCUUUCAGCAGGGAAGAAAAAAAUGACGGUACCUGCAGAAGAAGCGACGGCUAAAUACGUG
rnacentral:rRNA from 1 species